rnacentral:rRNA from 1 species
GACGAACGCUGGCGGCGUGCUUAACACAUGCAAGUCGAACGGGUCUGCCCUGUUUUUUGCGGGGUGGGUCAGUGGCGAACGGGUGAGUAACACGUGAGUAACCUGCCCCUCACUUCUGGAUAACCGCUUGAAAGGGUGGCUAAUACGGGGUGUUCUGGCUGUGCCGCAUGGUGUGGCUGGGAAAGAUUCACUUUUGUGGUGUUUUGGUGGGGGAUGGGCUCGCGGCCUAUCAGCUUGUUGGUGGGGUGAUGGCCUGCCAAGGCUUUGACGGGUAGCCGGCCUGAGAGGGUGGGCGGUCACAGUGGGACUGAGAUACGGCCCAGACUCGUGCGGGAGGCAGCAGGGGGGGGUAUUGCACAAUGGGCGGAAGCCUGAUGCAGCGACGGCGCGUGAGGGAUGGAGGCCUGCGGGUUGUGAACCUCUUUCGCCGGUGAAGAAGGUCCUGCUCUUUGUGGUGGGGUUGACGGUAGCCGGGUUAUGAAGCGCCGGCUAACUACGUG